rnacentral:rRNA from 1 species
CCUACGGGGGGCAGCAGUGGGGAAUCUUGCGCAAUGGGGGAAACCCUGACGCAGCGACGCCGCGUGCGGGAUGAAGGCCUUCGGGUUGUAAACCGCUUUCAGCAGGGACGAAGCGAAAGUGACGGUACCUGCAGAAGAAGCCCCGGCCAACUACGUGCCAGCAGCCGCGGUAAGACGUAGGGGGCGAGCGUUGUCCGGAAUCACUGGGCGUAAAGCGCGCGCAGGCGGCCCGGUAAGUCGACAGUGAAAACUCGGGGCUCAACCCCGAGCCUGCUGCCGAUACUGUCGGGCUCGAGGCAGGUAGGGGAGAUUGGAAUUCCCGGUGUAGCGGUGAAAUGCGCAGAUAUCGGGAGGAACACCGGUGGCGAAGGCGGAUCUCUGGGCCUGUCCUGACGCUCAGGCGCGAAAGCUGGGGGAGCAAACAGGAUUAGAUACCCUGG